AAUCAACGCUGGCGGCGUGCUUAAUACAUGCAAGUCGAACGGCAGCGGGUCCAGCAAUGGAUGCCGGCGAGUGGCGCACGGGUGCGUAACGCGUAUGCAACCUACCCUUAACCGAGACACAACCUUGAGAAAUCGAGGCUAAUAUCUCAUAACAUUAUGAAGUGACAUCACUUUAUAAUUAAAGCUCCGGCGGUUAUAGAUGGGCAUGCGUGACAUUAGCUAGUAGGUGAGGUAACGGCUCACCUAGGCGACGAUGUCUAGGGGUUCUGAGAGGAUGAUCCCCCACACUGGUACUGAGACACGGACCAGACUCCUACGGGAGGCAGCAGUAAGGAAUAUUGGGCAAUGGACGCAAGUCUGACCCAGCCAUGCCGCGUGCAGGAUGACGGCCCUAGUGGUUGUAAACUGCUUUUAUACGGGAAAAAACCCCUGGUCGUGCAUCAGGGCUGAUGGUACCGUAAGAAUAAGGAUCGGCUAACUCCGUGCCAGCAGCCGCGGUAAUACGGAGGAUCCAAGCGUUAUCCGGAUUCAUUGGGUUUAAAGGGUGCGCAGGCGGGAUAAUAAGUUAGUGGUGAAAGCCUACGGCUUAACUGUAGAAUUGCCAUUAAUACUGUUAUUCUUGAGUACAGUUGAAGUGGGCGGAAUGUGUCAUGUAGCGGUGAAAUGCUUAGAUAUGACACAGAACGCCGAUAGCGAAGGUAGCUCACUAAGCUGUAACUGACGCUCAGGCACGAAAGCGUGGGGAGCAAACAGGAUUAGAUACCCUGGUAGUCCACGCUGUAAACGAUGAUUACUCGAUGUUGGCGAUAUACAGUCAGCGUCUAAGCGAAAGCAUUAAGUAAUCCACCUGGGGAGUACGGUCGCAAGAUUG
rnacentral:rRNA from 1 species